rnacentral:rRNA from 1 species
AUUGAACGCUAGCGGGAUGCCUUACACAUGCAAGUCGAACGGAGUGGCGAACGGGUGAGUAAUGUAUCGGAACGUGCCCAGUAGCGGGGGUUAAGUACGCGAACGCGUAGCUAAUUCCUCAUACUAUUGGAGCGGCGGAGAUCGGAUUAGCUUGUUGGUGGGGUAACGGCUCACCAAGGCGACGAUCCGUAGCUGGUUUGAGAGGACGACCAGCCACACUGGGACUGAGACACGGCCCAGACUCCUACGGGAGGCAGCAGUGGGGAAUUUUGGAAAAUGGGGGAAACCCUGAUGCAGCCAUCCCGCGUGUGCGAAGAAGGCCUUCGGGUUGUAAAGCAAUUUUAGCAGGAAAGCGGUACCUGCAGAAUAAGCACCGGCUAACUACGUGCCAGCAGCCGCGGUAAUAC